UGAUUUUUUUUUUAUAGGUUCCUGCAGGGUACACUUAUACAAUUAUGUUGAAUUUACUAUAGUGCAACAACUUAAUAAGAUUGUGGAGUACUCUCAUCAUAGUCUAUAAUAGGGGUCGGCGAUUAGUUUCUAUGAUAAUAAUAUAAUAUCAGAUAAUUUGAAAAAAAUUAAACACAAUACAUAUAUAAAUAUAUUAGUAUAGACUAAGGUACAAAAAAUAAUGUUCGUGUUUGUAUAUUUUUCAGGGCUAUAAAACUAAAGUGCUUGUAACAGAAAUAAAUAAUCGGCAUUUAAAUAACAAUACGAAAUAUGAGUUGCAAUUGUUUCUGAAACAAAUGAAUCACCAAUCCAUUGAUAUAACUGCCUGUGACUGUUUCACCUUAAACGGUCGUCUCGUCGCUUCGGCUAUUGCUGUCGGCACCACGUAUCUCUUCGUUUUAAUACAAUUUCACGCACAAAUUACUCAAUUUACGGAUAACAAAAAAUCAUGAAUAUUUUUAGAACACAACAAAAAUUAUUAGUAUAAAAAAACUAUA